GACGAACGCUGGCGGCGUGCCUAAUACAUGCAAGUCGAACGCUUCCUACCGGUGCUUGCACCGGGAAAGAAGAGUGGCGGACGGGUGAGUAACACGUGGGUAACCUACCUACAAGCGGGGGAUAACAUUCGGAAACGGAUGCUAAUACCGCAUAGAUCUUUUUGUCUCCUGGCAGAAAGAAGAAAGACGGUUUCGGCUGUCACUUGUAGAUGGACCCGCGGCGCAUUAGUUAGUUGGUGAGGUAAUGGCUCACCAAGACGAUGAUGCGUAGCCGACCUGAGAGGGUGAUCGGCCACACUGGGACUGAGACACGGCCCAGACUCCUGCGGGAGGCAGCAGUAGGGAAUCUUCCGCAAUGGACGAAAGUCUGACGGAGCAACGCCGCGUGAGUGAAGAAGGUUUUCGGAUCGUAAAACUCUGUUGUUAGAGAAGAACAAGGAUGAGAGUAACUGCUCGUCCCUUGACGGUACCUAACCAGAAAGCCAUGGCUAACUACGUGCCAGCCGCCGCAGUAA
rnacentral:rRNA from 1 species